rnacentral:rRNA from 1 species
CACGCUGUAAACGAUGAGUGCUAGGUGUCGGGGGCGACAGUCUUCGGUGCCGCAGUUAACACAUUAAGCACUCCGCCUGGGGAGUACGGUCGCAAGACUGAAACUCAAAGGAAUUGACGGGGGCCCGCACAAGCAGCGGAGCAUGUGGUUUAAUUCGACGCAACGCGAAGAACCUUACCAAGACUUGACAUCCCUUAGCCAGUCUUAGAGAUAAGAUUUUCCCUUCGGGGACUAAGGUGACAGGUGG